UCGCAUUUAUGAAUAAAUACGACUCAUCACUGUAUGAGUUGAUACGAAUUGAAAUAACCACGUGUUUCCGCUAUGGUAGCAGUAUACAAACAACAUGAUGGUGAUCCGAAAUCUGAACGUCAAUUUUCAUGAUUAUUUCACGACGAAGAUCAUCACAUCAAUGAAUCAAAUAAUACGGACAUCCUUUGGUAUUAGCAGGGUGCUGGCACCAUAUACAACAAUACUUUCAUCUGUGAAUACCCACUUGCUAAGCCCACCAUGAACUACGAAUGCCAAUUAAUAUGUAAGGACACCAAUGAACAGACACUUUCCAAUAUCGUACAUCAUAUAUAUGGGUGGUCAAACUCACUGGAUGGUUUAUCAACACUCCCAUGCUCACGAACAGCCUUGCCCCAGGAAUUUUGCCCUGAAGUAACAUUGCAGUCUAUUGUCUCCCUUCUUUUUACAACCCUGGCAGCCAUGCAGGAUAGAAGCUGAUCACUUGAACUUGAAAGCAAAUUAUAAUGUCUUGGACAAGUCAAAGAAUUUCCUCCAGUCUUACAGAGAAGUAACAGUUGAUAAAAGAAUGGUGGACACAAAGUAAAAGUGCUCUUCAACAUUUUGUUGAAGAUUUCAGUCUGAUUUGGAAUUCAUCUUUCAGUAUAUCUGGAUUUGUAUAUUUGGAUAUAAGUGUCAAAAUUUCAACUUAUUGACUAAACAGUUUUGGGCUAAAUAUUGCCAAUGCUAUUUAUUAUUAUUAUUUCCCUCCAAGAUAACAUGUCAAGUCUUUAUUGUACCCCUUAAGCUCUGUUAU